GCUAUUUUGCUGUUAUAGUCUUCCAAGGAAAUUGAACUGCAAGUGACUGAAACCUGAACCAGUAUUUGGAAAAAGAGAAGAAAUCCUACCCCAGAUGUACUUCUGGAACCAUCUCCACCUUACUUUUUCAUGGUAGUCCUGCUUGCUCUGUGUAUUGUAUCAGUCUGCAGUCCUCAGGGAAGUUGAUGUUCUUCCACCCAGAAGUAUUAACUUCUUAGAAGAAACUGACUCUGUGCUCCCCCUAAUGCUAGAAAAGGAAAACAGCCUUCUCCUAUAUGUCGUCUAAAAGGAGAUUCAAAAGAAGCUUCAUACACAGAUAUUUCCACACCCCAUGGGAGUUCUUAGCCUUAUAGUACACCUCCCAGGAUGGCUUGGCCAACAGAAGAAAGAGAAUCUCACCCUCUAGGCACAGCCCUAUGCUACUCUGUGAACUACUACACAGCUGCUGGCUUAGCAUAGAGAAUAGGUCUCAGCUGUGAUUCCAGGAGGAAAUCAUUGGGCCAGCCCCUCAAUAAUGGGAAAGGGGAAACUUUAACUGCUGCUCUACCAAAGGAAAAGAAAAAGAGGAAAAGAAAACCAAACCCCAAACCAAUGUGACCCAAACCUGGAGACACACACGGAAGUUACACUAUGAGGCUUCAGCUACUGAGUGUGUUGAAGACGCUCCCAUAUUAACAUGAAAAUAAAGUUUCAUUAAAGGAAAUGAGGUAAGGGUAAAUAUCCCUAGGCAUGCAAUGAAGCAGCCCCACAGAGCAACUGCAGGACAUGCAGCUGGGGCUCCAGCCUCCGUUCACUGGCUCUCCAAGCCCAUGGGAGAUGGUGGGAGCACGGUUACAUGGAGCUGAAAGGCCUUGCUGAGUAGGAGAUGAUCGGGCCAUGUAACACACAUAUGACUUCUCUCCAUCUGUGGGGUCAGGGUGAGCAGACCAACUAACACUCGUUCUGUCUGUAACACCCUCUGCCAGAAGCACAGAAGUUUCCAGCCAGUUAGUAAGGAAGCAAAGGAAAGGAGGACAGUAGAGACCUCUUCCUUACUCACUGCACUGAGUGGAGUCUUAAAAUCCCCAGUCUGUUUCAAUCACAAGCCAAAAUGAGCAGCUCUGCUGUUAACACAGUAGAGGGAAGAAGAGAAUUGAUGGGGCAGUUGCUGGGGAGCAGGUAGAAGAUGAUGGAUGGUAGCACAGGACACACUGUUGCUAACCUUCUCCCCAUCCCAAACAGGAUGAUAUCUGUCUGUCUCCAUUCCCAUCCAGUCCAGCCUUCACCUAUCUCAUUCCAGCAGCCAGGAGGCUGGGCCAGAAAAGCUUAUUGAGUGGACGAGACACUGUGCCUUUGGCAAUGGAGACAGCUUGCUGCUGGGCAUUUCUCACACAUCUGCUCCAGAGCCACCUGCUCUGGGCACCUUCUGAGCUCUGCUGCCACCAGCUGAGAGAAAACAAACAUUCUUAUGCUGUUUUGGUUAAUUUUAAACCAGUGAAAGCUGAUUAUUUCUUAGGAAGCUUAAUCUGUGGCUGCUGUCUAAAUUUAAAGGGAAAAUGUCGGUGUUCUACUUUAUAUAACAGAGAAAAGGAGUAAAUGGGAGGAAAAUAGAAGAAAAAGAAAAUCACAGAUGAGAGCUGUCCAUUUUUAUCCUUUUUCUUCCAACUAUCACUGUAGCCAAGAGCUUAAAUGCAAGUGCUCUAAAGCUCUUAGCAAAGUGUGGUCAGCUGUGUGCUAUCAACACUCCCCUCCUGCAGCUAACCCACUUGCACGCUGAAAAAAAAAAAACAUCUCUGAAUGUCCAAAGCAGUAAAUUUCAAAAGCAGGAGCAGCAGCCAAUAGAAAACCGUGGAAACUCUGAUACUUGUGACAUCAGAGAACAAAGGUUCAGCAAUACAUGUCACGCUGACUGCAUCAAGCCAUUUGCAAGAGAUGUACUUUGACCCCAAAUCCCAUUUCUUCACAUUUCGGUGUAUUAACUGAGUCAGAGCUCCCUCCCACAUACCUAUCUUCUAUCUCCAUUAGUACAUGGCAUUCUGCCACACAGGGAACUAAAUACGUUCACCCUCUUCAUCGGGUCACACAACAGCCCCAGCCGUUCCUGAAGCUGAGCAGCUCCCUGCUGCUGCUGCCACCCAAGACUCACACAGGCUGAAGCUGUUUCAGAGGCAGCAGACCUCAAAGUCAUAUUGAACAAAACCGAUCCAUUCCUCCUGUGAAAAUUACCCUGGAAAAGACAAGAGCGGGCAAGAAUGGUCUGCAGGUCUCCUAAAACAAUUUGAUGUGAGGAGCAGAGCUGGACUGAAAUGAGGGCAAUGUGAGGAGGUUGUCCACAUCCUUGCAGGCAGGGGACUUGAGGAAGGAUGGAACCUUAUCUGCAGCUGUUGCCUAUCUUGGCCCUCUAACAACAAGACCAGAGAGAAAAGAGUAAUACCUGCACUCUGAUUCCCCUUCUUCUGAAGAUGGCAAUCCCUCAGAUUUUCAGAUUGUUUUCAUAUCUCCCCCAUGUACCAUCACAGCAAAUAUUUGCAGGACAUGCAGCAAUUCUCUGUUUGACCUGUACUGAGCGGUUUCCUCCUUAGACUCAGAUCCUCCAUUCAGUCUCUCUUUUUUUCCCUAUUCUUUGCCCAUUACUGCAAGGUUGAAUGGCACUCUUGAAUCCCUUUGAAUUUGAUCUACAGGAAAAUGUUUAACAAGCAUGAGUUCUGGCAAAAUGGCACCAGCACAGCCUUGUAGGUCUAUAUAACCCCUAGGUGAAAAAGCUUAUGCCAAUCCCGGGGGGUUUAAAAUCAGUCUCUGAAACAGAGUUGAAUAAACUUAAGGGGACCAGCAGCAAUGUGGGUCCAGCCGUACUCAGUCCUGGUGCCUCACACAGGGGUGUGGAUGCAUGUUCUAGAACAGGCAAGAACUCUUCAAAGAACUAUUCGAUAAGUAUCACCCAGACAGGUCUGGAACAAGAUUGAUAGCAUUGUUGUUUGUGGCACAGAGCCAAGGAGUGUCCUUGCGGGCUUCCAAGCCAAGCCAGUGGUUCUGAUGAGAGUGAGAUCAUAAGCACAUCAGAAGCUUCAUGCCAUGGAGUGACAAGAAAAGAAAUCUACUGCAGAUAGACACCAUCAUCAGUAAGACGGUCUUGUAAAGGUUCAUAAGUUUCGAAGUGGUUUCCUUUAAGCCAUAUUUCUUUAAUCUGGAGUGGCAUGGGGCUGCCCCAGGAGCUAUGCUCCCCUGCAGACAUCCACACCUUCUCAUCCUCAGUGCAGCUGCCUUGUUAUCAGCAGGGCCCACAGAACUGCCUGCAGGGCAGCAGGCUGGUCACGUUAUCUGGCUGCCUUAAGCUGUCUCUUUCUGACAUAUAGCCUGUGUCUUUCCCUUCCAAGGAAGGGCUAACCCUUACUUGAAACGGUAAGACAAGUCUAGCAGUAACACCAGAGUCAGACCCAAUGAAUACAUCUAAAGGGAAACCUGGCAGUGUCAGGCAGCCAGGUGAGUCUGAAACCUGUACUCCGUUAGGUAAUACUGCCUGACAGAAGCUGCAGAUCAGGUCUAUUACCCACUGUGUGUUCGUAGGCUGUCUGGAGUCACAAGCACGGUGCAAGCCUCUGGCAGUGAGAAAGAGGGGUAGCCUGAGUUACCCCACAUACAGUGAGGUAACUGGUUCAGGGGAGGUGGGGGCAACCCAGCUGUAGUUCUAGCAAGAGCUGACAGGAUGAAGCAACUGACUGAUACCAGGAAGUGCUUAGUUCUGCAUAACUCACAUUAAAGCACAAACUGUUCUGUACUUCAUAGAAUAUGAGCCAUCACAUGCAAUAACACAUCUCUUCUCUCAGCCAAGUGUGUACCCACAGAGUCAGAGGACAGGAAGCACAUCCUUCUCCUGUUAGGGAAACCCGUCCAAAGAUAUGGAAGAUACAUCGCUGUGUCAUUUUUUCCACAGGGCCACAUCCUGUGGCAGAUAAAUACUUGCAGGGAGCCAUCCUGGGAUGGAUACCAUAGACUAUUGCUUACGGAAAUACGCAUUGUGAUUUCAUGUCCCGCUGGCCUCGCGUGGGCAUGUUUUAACCUGACUGGUAGCAAGAAGACAAGUAUGAGCUCACCCACAUGCAUGGCACCUGCAUUUCAGUAGUGGGGUGUACACCUUCCCAGAGUCCCUUCAAAGCAAUAGCGGCCAAUGCAAGAAGGACUAAAUCACACGUAAGGAGAAUUAUAAAGCAACAAAAAGAAAGGAGAACAAUUCCUAAUGGCGAUGAGAAUUUGGUCACACCAUCGGUGGUAUCUGACAGCAGAGCAACAGCUCGGACGGUUCCAGCAAAGCGUUAGGCAUGGAGUCAAAACGCCAGGGCCCCACCUGCUGUACCAGGAAGGACGUACAGCCAACAGGGCCCUUCUCUCACAGCUUGGCGGCCGGCCCGGCACGCACAGAGCUGGGACGACCUUACCUCCCGCAUGGGUGGAUGCUCGUUGUCUUCUAUCCUGAAAGAGUUCUAUCUCCUUACCCUGCGACAGUAACAAAAUUACAUUUAAAAGCUAUUAUUCUGAAGGCCUAAUAUUUUCUGGUCCUAUGGAGGCAGUAGGAUGGACACUCAUUGAGUUUCCCCUACUGGUAAAACUUGUGCUUCAACUGAAUUUGUCUGGGAAGGAAUUAAGUUUCAUUUCAGUAGACAGUAUGAUACUUCUAAUAAUCCCACCUGGGAAAGCUGCAGAUUGGGUCCAGGCUUUCCCUCCUCUGCAGACACUGACUUGAUCAAACAUGGAAACCUGAAAUUCAGGCUCAGCAGCAGAAGAGAUAUCUAAGAGGAAGCAGAUGAGAGGUUUUGUACAUAUCAGUAUUUAUCAUUAGCAGCAGUUCCUUCCUUUUUGGAUGUCCACCAUUAAUUGAUUUAUUCUGGAACAAUCAAAACGAUCUAACAAAAAUAAACAAAAAUGCCUUCCUCUUAAAGUGGAUCCAUCCUUCAUUCUUUGGAAUCCACUUUUUUUUUUUUUUCCUUCAGAUUUCCAAGUCCAACCAUUGUCCUCCAGGAUAGGCAAAAUGUUAAUCUGUGAGGUAAAAAAAAAAACAAAAACAGAAAAUAAAAAUAAAAAUCAAAGCAUCCUCACCUGUUGCUCUCACUUCAGUCUUCUUUCCUGUUGCAGAGAUUAGCCAAAAAACAAGAUCCAGCUGGAAGCACUUAUUCCUUUGAAAGCCAACUUUAUAAGAAAGAGCUACAGCAGCUACCUCAAACACCUGUAAAGUGGGUUGCUUCUUUUUUCUUUUUUUUUCUUUUCUUUCUUUUUCUUUCUUUUUUUCUUUCUUUUUUUUUUUCUUUUUUUCUUUUUUUUUCUUUUCUUUCUUUUUUUUCUUUUUUUUUUUCUUUUUUCUCUCUUCCAUCCCCCAAGUGGAGGACAGAGGCUGAGCUCUGGAAGAAGGCAAUGUGAGCGGAUUGCUGGAGCCCCAUUAGUUUGCUCCUUGUUCUUCCCCACGAGCCUGCCUGUUGCUCUGGUCCUGCUGGUUUGCAGUCACAGCUUCUGUGCUGCAGAGCCCAGUGGGGAACAGCUGGAGGUGCCAUGCUGUGGAGGAGAAAGAUGAGCAUAGGCCAUGAGCUUUCCUUCUCUCCAUGCCUCUUAUUUGACAGCAGAGCUGAGCCAGUCAGCCCUGAUGUUCCCUGGCAAAAUGCCUAUUAUGAUGAAAUAAGACUGGCUUUGUUUAUGGCUGUUUCAUUCAUUAGGUCACAAGGUUCCCAAAGUAAUCAAGAACCCCGGGGGGGGGGGGUGUUUGAAAAUAGCAAACACAGCGGGCAGAAGCACAGAAGGCUCCUUUGCAAAUAUGCAAUGUAUUUCAUUUGCCAUUUGAAUUUAUUUUUAAUUGAAAGAGGACUUAUAGAGGCAGAAAAGUGAAGACAGUAACUACAGACAGCUCUGCCCGCAGAAAUCCAGACUUCAUGUUCCACCCUUUACUGGGGUCAAAAGGCAAGGCUUGUAUUUGAAACAAAUGCAGUCCUCUUCACAAGCUGAGGUGGAUGCAGGAUGGAGCAACUGGUGCUGUUUUGCUCAAGUGCUGCUGAUGACCAGAAAAAUGGCUCCUAGUAAUCCAAAAUCUGGUUUUCUGCUUCUGUCAUUCCAUUAUGUUUAAGGUACAGUCUACUGAAUUACACUACUUUUCUUUAUAUAUCAUCAUAUAUGAUCUGUAUGGUCUUAGGUGGAGGAAAUUAAGUUAACCAGAUUUUCAGUACUCAGCAAUUGAACAACCCAAAUGAAGAGGUGAUUCAUGUUGAGCUGUAAACAAAACCAGUAGAGGGCAUAGUUUAUAUAUAUAUGUAUAUAUACGUAUAUUAUAUACGUGUAUAUAUAUAUAUGUGUGUGUGUGUGUGCCUUCUUUUGUAAAGAGGCACAUUUACCAUCAAAGUAAAUUGGAAGGGAGGCUCAACCUGGGACAGACAGUCUUGUUUGUAGAAAGCUGCUGUGGAGGAUGUGUAGAUGUCACUGCCUCCUUGAGAGGCACCAUAAUACAGGAAAUUCAGCUACCAUGAGGACAUCUGAGACCAAUAUACUAUAAAGCUGUUCAGAAAGGGACUGGUCAAGAUAGUGGAGGCAGAUUAACCAUCAGCUAUUACAUAGGAUGGUCCAGAUACAAGGUGGCUUUUAUUGCCAGAAGUUGAGAAAGAUCUGCAGUGUGAUCUUUCAUUUCUUAAGCUGUUUUUGUUCAUCUGUCUUUAGCCACUGUUGGAAGCAGGAAACUGGUUAAGUCGAGUUAUAAGCAACUCAGGUCAACAUUAUAUUCAAGUCAGCAGAUAGCAGGGCAUUUUAGUUCUCAGCCCCUUAAAAUAGGCAUGCUCAAGAACACAGGGAAGGCAAAUGGCAGCUCUCUCAGCUGAUCCAGAAAAGUAAUUUUCUGCAUGAAGUGUUCUAGGUAAUAAAGCAUCAUUUCUGUAGCUUUACUGGCAAUAAUGAAAAACCUGUGCUUGGAAGGAUAUUGUAAAAAAAAUUUAAGUCUCUGAAGGGUAAACAGGCCCUGAUUUCAUCUCAUGGAGAAGACUAAAGCUUACCAUCUUUAGUGACAUCCUAGGUUAUGGAAACAUUAAUUUAAUGAAAGAAAACUGCUUAUCAGCUGUGGCCUCUGUUACACGUAAAUAUAAUUCAUUCUUUCCACAUCUACCACAAUUGAGAGAUGAUAAUUUAAAAUGUGAACAGAAAUAUCACAGCUUUGUCCUCCUGAACUGAAUGGAGAGCAACAGCUACAUCAAUUGGAAUACUGAAGAGUUACCUUUGUAACCACGAUGGCUGUAAGGAGCUGCUGUACCUAUGGCAUUGCCUACGCUUUGGACUGCAGCAAGGCACAGGAACAUUCUCUGCAAGUCACUUUCCUUUUGCACACUUCAUGCCACUAGAUAAAGAGGAACAAGAUGUCAAAAGCGCUCAGUGCAAAAGGCGCCUCACGCCCCCAUCUAAAGUCUAUUGAUUUUUCCAAACAUUUCUCAAGUCCCUCUUUCUCAGGCAGAUCUAAGCACAGGGCAUGUUCUGUGUGACCCUGCACAUGUGGCAGAAGAACAUGAUGCCAAGUGGUGAGAAAAGGCAAGUUGCUGCUGGCUUGUAGCUUGCUUCACCUGAGCUUAUCAGCAGGGCUGCUAUGGGUAUGUGCUGCUUAUUGCCCCAGUGCAGAACAGCUACCUGCAUUUGUGCACUUACCGCACAAAACUUUCUGUCUUAAUACGUUAUUGCUGCUGGAGGGCAGAUAAUAGCUGGUGACCAGCAGCUGCAAAAUGCGCUCCUGUAGGUAUUUGAAUUAACAUCCAAGCAUAUAAGCCAGGAAAUAAGUGGGAGCAGGCCCAGCUGCUCAGCCUUUCCAGAGCAAAUCUGAGGUGAUAGGUGCACCUGGACGAGCUCUCACAGCCCUCAGUACGUGGUCUGCAGCUGCAGGGAAACCUGGCCGUGCUCCCUCAGCUCUGCUCUUUGUGCAGGAGAGGGAGGGCACCCAAAGCCCAGGGAGACUGCAGCUGGAGAGAGAGACUGCUGGGCUGGAGCAGGGGUAACCUGUGCCACUGGCACACUGUCUCCCUCAGGGAGCGCUUCACCCUGCUUGAGCUUCCUCAUUUCUGCUUCUUUCCUUUACCCAAAUAAAUUCUUAAUCUGUACCACCAUAUCCCCGUCCCUCCUCUGGGCCUCUGCAACAAGAUCUAGAUCCCCAUGGACUGCCCUCAAAGCACUUCGUGACAAAGCACAAAAAAUAAAACGGUGCUGAAAGGAAGAAAGAGAAACGGAGUUUUUUAAGCUGUCACUGUUUUCUGCAUGGGUGAAAAAGGAGCUAAGAACAGGGUAAAAGAACCUGAAGUCACAGGGCAGGAAUUACUGGAAAACAACUCAGUCAUCGGUGUUUGCUGGUGUUUGCCAACAAACAAAUAAAUCACGAGGCCCUACAGGUGACAAAAGAAAAUGCUCAGUAGCAGCAGUUGCAUUUUCUACUCCAACAGUCUGCACACUGACACAAAGUCUGGACAGCCUUAGACCAGCCAGACCCCAAGGGAACUCAUGCUUUUCUCUGUUUUUCCUACUUUCGUGUAACCCAAGAUCCAUUUACCAACACCUUAGGAGGACAUGGGCCUCAUGACAGAGUCAAGGUCUGUCCAGAGGACUUUCCUCUUCUGGUUGAGGAUUCGUUUUUCCACAGGGACCUCACUGCACACAACUGCACACUCAUUUCCCCUCAUAUAGACUUCUGCAGUUUAAAGGUUCAGGGGAGAGCUGGAGACUAUAACCUGGAAAAUCUGAACUGCACCAUUCAGUGAAACACUUGGUCUGCUUCAGUGAGGGAGAAGCAUGGGGUGGAUCAGAGCAACCUGAAACAUUGCACAAAGAUAAGGAAUGAUAAAAAGCUGUUGUGUGCUCAACAGUCACCUCACAGAGCAGCUGCCCUAACGACAGGAUUUGAUGCUAGCUGAUGAGGAGUUGUAAAACUUGUUCCACCUUUAUCGUCUGAUUCCAG
ensembl:lncRNA